rnacentral:lncRNA from 1 species
UUCCAGAGCAAACAUGUGAGAACCCCUUAGGCUGUGACCAGGUCCACACUUUUUUAGAAAAUUGGGUGCAUUUCCUAUGAGGGCCCUGCCCUUUUUCUGGUGUACUGAUUAAUGUGAUUUUCUCUUCUUCUUCCCCCAAGUUCUAGGGCUGGGGAUGAGCUCACCAGCACCUGUGUGCCAUUCUGAAGACCUACUUCUACCUUCUUUGCUGAGGCUUCCAUCCAGGUGUCCCUCUAUCUUGGAGAUUUGGAAAUGUCUGCUUCAUCCAUAACCCCCACCCUCGGGCCCAGAUCUUGGCCACAUGUCAUCUAAUUUGAGCCCACUUCCAUCAACUGUGAGCUUCCUGAAUAAGAAGACCCUAUUUGACAGAGGAACUGGGAGUGAGUCUCUCUGUUCUGCCUCCCCAUCCUCCUCCUCCCUUCUCACCCCUCUC